rnacentral:rRNA from 1 species
GACGAACGCUGGCGGCGUGCCUAAUACAUGCAAGUAGAACGCACAGUUUAUACCGUAGCUUGCUACACCAUAAACUGUGAGUUGCGAACGGGUGAGUAACGCAUAGGUAACCUGCCUGGUAGCGGGGGGUAACUAUUGGAAACGAUAGCUAAUACCGCAUAAUAUUGAUUAUUGCAUGAUAAUUGAUUGAAAGAUGCUAUUGCAUCACUACCAGAUGGACCUGCGUUGUAUUAGCUAGUAGGUGAGGUAACGGCUCACCUAGGCGACGAUACAUAGCCGACCUGAGAGGGUGAUCGGCCACACUGGGACUGAGACACGGCCCAGACUCCUACGGGAGGCAGCAGUAGGGAAUCUUCGGCAAUGGACGAAAGUCUGACCGAGCAACGCCGCGUGAGUGAAGAAGGUUUUCGGAUCGUAAAGCUCUGUUGUAAGAGAAGAACGGGUGUGAGAGUGGAAAGUUCACACUG